rnacentral:lncRNA from 1 species
UUAUGACCUUUCAUACUUGAAAUGUUAACUUAAAAUUACCAAUUAAUCUUCAAAUGUAAAGACAGAAGAAGGGUACACCAUCAGAGGUUGCUUCUAUCCUCCUCAUGAGAUGAUUUUCAUGCAUAAGCACAGUCAGUACUCCUACUUAACCAAACCAUACAAUCAGAGCUAAUGUCAAACCCUUAAUAUACAAAUACACUUUCCUUCCGUUUGAUAGGAUAUCAACAUAAUAAUCUAAAGCAUGAUCCAAGAGACUGAGUAAUUAGGAAAUAACAAAACAUGGCUUGGCUUUUGUCAUAGACGCCUAUACACAAUCAAUUCAUUUCUUAGAAACCCACAUAAAACAAAGCUUUAGUUUGUUUUAACCAGCAAGUUAACCAAUCUGCAACCUUCACCUUUCACAAUGCUUAAACCUAGAAUCUAGCACUCACACUUUCAAAUGAUACUAGUUAAUCUAGAAAACUGAACUUCAUAUUUAUUACAAAUAUAAAUGAGAAAAAUAGAAACAGAAAUGUUCAAAUCAACUUCAUAUUCAUUCUAAAUUCCAUUUGAACAUGAGACUCGACAAUCACUUGCUCUCCAUAGUUUAUAGGUUUACUCGGAGAUCGAAAGGCAACAAAGAAAUGAGGAAUCAGUGGUUGAGCAGCAAUGUAUCAGUAGCAAAAAUCAGUCCCACCAAAACCCUGGAGAUCGAAAGGAAACAAAGAAAUGAGGAAUCAGUGGUUGAGCAGAAAUAUAAUAGUAGCAUAAAUUAGUCCUAGAAAAACCAGCUCAAUCCUAGAAGAUGAUGUGUAAUAAUCAACAACAAUCGACCAAAACUUCAAAUCAAACUCUUAAACCACCCAAAAUCAUACUAUUUCAGCCCCCAGAUAAAUCAAAAAUCAUUUCAGGAAUUGGAAAUCUAAGAAAUCACCAAAAAGAUCAAUGAAACAGUAAAUUUUAGUGGAAUUCUCGGUAGACGUCUUUUCAAAAAUUUUUAACUCUUCAAUCUCUGCCUUGAAAUACAAGGAAGAGAUGCCUUAUAUGCAAGGAGAUAGGGCAACCUAGUGACUAAGAAGAUUUGCACUUGGACCCUUAUUCAAUUCUCUUUUUUGCUUAGAGGUCCUUAAAUUCCAAUCAAAUUUCCAUUUAAUUCCAAACCCCAGCUUCCUAGAAGCUUUCUUAAGAUGUUAUAACAAGAUUCCCUAUCCCAAACUACCCAAAUUACCCCCUUCAACCCUGUUUAUUACCCUAAAAACCAACCCGAGUCAACUGACCAAGCUAAUGGGUCUACAGACCAUAAUUAACUCCCCAUCUAGGAUAAUCCCCUUUUGAAAUCAAUUUCAACACAGAAAGCAAAACAAGUAACAGAACAAGCCAACCAUUUGGGCUCAAACAAGUUUCUGAACCAACUACCCUUUGUUGCCCAAGAUUGGAAUAUAAUUAGAUAUACUAGACAAACUAAACCAAAACAGGCUUUAAACAAAAUUUUAAUUAAUGGCGAAGCUCGGAUUAAAGGGACUCAUGCAAAGACAACACAGACAUAUAAAAGGAGAUAGAGAAGGAUGACAAAAAACAAUGUAAGAAAAUAGAUAAAACGAGAAUGAAACAAAAAUACCUAAUCAAUUGGCUAAGCUUUGAAAUUCUUCUUCAACCUCUCGAUUUUGACCAAAAGGGGUCUCAACCAUGUGUUUUCAGAUGAAAACACAUGGUCAAGGUCCAUUGUGGUCUCAAUCAUCAACGAAUCCACCGAUUCUGGAGUUUUGACAUUUUUAGGUCUCACUUUCAACUCAGAUUCGACCAGUUUAGGACUUUGGUAGAGAGGAUGAGAGACCGGNNN